rnacentral:tRNA from 1 species
GCGCCCGUAGCUCAGUUGGAUAGAGCGUUUGACUACGAAUCAAAAGGUCGCGUGUUCGAGUCACGCCGGGCGCACCA